AUCCAUCAUGGAUCUUAGCAAGUUAGUGGGAGCUAUUUGCAUUUUAUGAGAAAAGGAUCAAAUCGUUUGAUUUAUCAUAAAGAUGUAAAUGAAUCUUUUGUUUACUAGUUUUACAAAAGAUUAGUGGGAGUUAAUCAUGUUCCUAAAAAUUUAAAUAUAUAUGAUAUAUUAAUUUUGGAAAUGAAAAGAAUACUUCUUCGUUAAAGUUAUGACUUUAAUACAUUAUAUGAAGAUAGAAUGUAUAUGGGAGAUAUAGUCUAUGUACAUGGGAUGGAAAUCUAUAAUGAUAUAUUUCAUGAUAUAAUUGGAUUAUAUCAAUGCCUAAUAAUAGACAAUGGAUGCUAGGAAGUUUCUCAUAUGAUGAUAAACUUCAAUAGAAGGACGAUUCUAGUGAGACUAGCAAGUUGCCCUUCUCAAAGGGAACGUGCCCCUUUGACUCCCAAAGAAAUAAUGCGUAAAUAGAAUCCUUUAUGCAUACACAGAAAGGUGAUUUAUGUAUUUCAUAUUGUAUGAAAAACAUUGAUAUGAGUUGUACCUAGAACGGUACAAGACGAUAUCAGUGCAAGCCCAGGAUCAGAACCAUGGCAACUAUCAAGUGAGUCCUUAAGUAAUUAAGAAAUACUAAAGGAUAAAUUCCUCAAAGAUCGAGGAAGAAUCAAAGUAACGUAAUGGAAGCGUAAAUG
rnacentral:lncRNA from 1 species